GGGGAAUAUUGCGCAAUGGGGGGAACCCUGACGCAGCCAUGCCGCGUGAAUGAAGAAGGCCUUCGGGUUGUAAAGUUCUUUCGGUAUUGAGGAAGGAGUGUAUGUUAAUAGCAUACAUUAUUGACGUUAAAUACAGAAGAAGCACCGGCUAACUCCGUGCCAGCAGCCGCGGUAAUACGGAGGGUGCGAGCGUUAAUCGGAAUAACUGGGCGUAAAGGGCACGCAGGCGGUUAUUUAAGUGAGGUGUGAAAGCCCCGGGCUUAACCUGGGAAUUGCAUUUCAGACUGGGUAACUAGAGUACUUUAGGGAGGGGUAGAAUUCCACGUGUAGCGGUGAAAUGCGUAGAGAUGUGGAGGAAUACCGAAGGCGAAGGCAGCCCCUUGGGAAUGUACUGACGCUCAUGUGCGAAAGCGUGGGGAGCAAACAGGAUUAGAUACCCUGGUAGUCCACGCUGUAAACGCUGUCGAUUUGGGGAUUGGGCUUAAAGCUUGGUGCCCGUAGCUAACGUGAUAAAUCGACCGCCUGGGGAGUACGGCCGCAAGGUUA
rnacentral:rRNA from 1 species